rnacentral:rRNA from 1 species
AUUGAACGCUGGCGGCAGGCCUAACACAUGCAAGUCGAGCGGAUGAAGCGAGCUUGCUUCUGUCUUCAACGGCGGACGGGAAAGUAAUGCCUAGGAAUCUGCUUGGUCGUGGGGGAUAACGUCCGGAAACGGGCGUUAAUACCGCAUACGUCCUGUAGUACCAAGUGGGGAAUCUUAGCACCUCACGAUCUCAUAUGAGCCUAGGUCGGAUUAGCUAGUUGGUGGGGUAAAGGCCUACCAAGGCGAUGAUCCGUAUCUGGUCUGAGAGGAUGAUCGGUCACACUGGAACUGAGACACGGUCCAGACUCCUACGGGAGGCAGCAGUGGGGAAUAUUGGACAAUGGGCGAAAGCCUGAUCCAGCCAUGCCGCGUGAGUGAAGAAGGUCUUCGGAUUGUAAAGCACUGUAAGUUGGGAGGAAGGGCAGUAAGUGAAUACCUUGCUGUUUUGACGUUACCAACAGAAUAAGCACCGGCUAACUUCGUG